UAAAAUCAACUAAGGAUCUCCAGCGUACCUUCCUGAACCUAAUACUGUUUGCGUCUUAUCCCCCAUGACAUGACCUGCCCGGACUUGCUACAGAAGGGGGAUGCCUUCACUGUGGCUGCGAUGGGGGUGCAUACUGAUAAGCUGGACCUGUCGGAGGAAAUGUUUAGGGUGUCCGGGAUGAGUGAGCAGCGAGCGAGGGCACAGCCAUUAGUUCUUCGGGGAGCGUCAAGCCCGAGAGGCGGCACUGUACACUAUAUGCAGGGGAAAUGGAGCCUCCUCGGGGGUCGCGGCGCUCCCAGCCCACCCAGUAGAGCACACCCACGCCCCGGUCAGUCUCAGCCCACUAUGACUGUUGUGUGACCCCAUACAUCGCCUAGCAUGCCAAUACGUAUUAACUGUACACAUUGCCUUAUUCCGUGUGUGUGUGUGUGUGUGUGUGUGUGUGUGUGUGUGUGUGUGUGUGUGUGUGUGUGUGUAUCCUUGUCAUUUCAUGCUCCAACCAUUCUCAGACAGUAACAAACCUUCAUCGCGGAAGUCUAGGACAUGGCUGCUUCUCACAAGUCAGAGAUACUAAUUCUGUUCUUUACACACACAACUUUGGUGAAACUUAAGACCGACUUCUCUGCUUCCUUGUUCACUGCCCUCCCAGAAACAAAUAACAUCACCCAGGCCAGCACUCAGCUAAACGCAAUCAACAAGUAAUUACAGCAUGAGCAUCUGUAUCAAAGAGUAAAGCCAUACUACCUUCCCGAUUAACAAAAUAUAAAUAACAAUUA